UACGAAGGGGGCUAGCGUUACUCGGAUUGACUGGGCGUAAAGGGCGCGUAGGCGGCUUGUACAGUCAGACGUGAAAUUCCUGGGCUCAACCUGGGGGGCUGCGUUUGAUACGUAUGGGCUUGAGUUCGGAAGAGGGUCGUGGAAUUCCCGGUGUAGCGGUGAAAUGCGCAGAUAUCGGGAAGAACACCCGUGGCGAAGGCGGCUCUCUGGGACGGUACUGACGCUGAGACGCGAAAGCGUGGGGAGCGAACAGG
rnacentral:rRNA from 1 species